GACGAACGCUGGCGGCGUGCUUAACACAUGCAAGUCGAACGGAAAGGCCCUGCUUUUGUGGGGUGCUCGAGUGGCGAACGGGUGAGUAACACGUGAGUAACCUGCCCUUGACUUUGGGAUAACUUCAGGAAACUGGGGCUAAUACCGGAUAGGAGCUCCUGCUGCAUGGUGGGGGUUGGAAAGUUUCGGCGGUUGGGGAUGGACUCGCGGCUUAUCAGCUUGUUGGUGGGGUAGUGGCUUACCAAGGCUUUGACGGGUAGCCGGCCUGAGAGGGUGACCGGCCACGGUGGGAGUGAGAUACGGCCCAGACUCCUAGGGGAGGCAGCAGGGGGGAAUAUGGCAAAAGGGGCGGAGGCCUGAUGCAGAAACGCCGCGGGGGGGAGGACGGCCUUGGGGUUGUAAACCGCUUUCGCCUGGAACGAAGGGGGAGUGACGGUAAUGGGUAAAGAAGCAACGGCUAACUAAGU
rnacentral:rRNA from 1 species